rnacentral:rRNA from 1 species
UACGUAGGGGGCGAGCGUUGUCCGGAAUUACUGGGCGUAAAGCGCGCGCAGGUGGCUUGUUAAGUCAGGUGUCAAAAUGCGGGGCUCAACCCCGCACCGCACUUGAAACUGGCAGGCUUGAGUGCAGGAGAGGAAAGUGGAAUUCCUAGUGUAGCGGUGAAAUGCGUAGAUAUUAGGAGGAACACCAGUGGCGAAGGCGACUUUCUGGACUGCAACUGACGCUGAGGCGCGAAAGCUAGGGGAGCAAACAGG